rnacentral:rRNA from 1 species
GACAGAGGGUGCAAACGUUGCUCGGAAUCACUGGGCGUAAAGGGCGUGUAGGCGGGAAGGAAAGUCGGGCGUGAAAUCCCUGGGCUCAACCCAGGAACUGCACUCGAAACUUCUUUUCUUGAGUGCCGGAGAGGAAAGCGGAAUUCCUGGUGUAGAGGUGAAAUUCGUAGAUAUCAGGAGGAACACCAGUGGCGAAGGCGGCUUUCUGGACGGUAACUGGACG